AACGAACGCUGGCGGCAUGCCUAACACAUGCAAGUCGAACGAGACCUUCGGGUCUAGUGGCGCACGGGUGCGUAACGCGUGGGAACCUGCCCUUAGGUUCGGAAUAACUCCCCGAAAGGGGUGCUAAUACCGGAUAAUGUCUUCGGACCAAAGAUUUAUCGCCUUUGGAUGGGCCCGCGUUGGAUUAGCUAGUUGGUAGGGUAAAAGCCUACCAAGGCGACGAUCCAUAGCUGGUCUGAGAGGAUGAUCAGCCACACUGAGACUGAGACACGGCCCGGACUCCUACGGGAGGCAGCAGUGGGGAAUAUUGGACAAUGGGCGAAAGCCUGAUCCAGCAAUGCCGCGUGAGUGAUGAAGGCCUUAGGGUUGUAAAGCUCUUUUACCCGGGAUGAUAAUGACAGUACCGGGAGAAUAAGCUCCGGCUAACUCCGUG
rnacentral:rRNA from 1 species